rnacentral:rRNA from 1 species
AUGCAAGCGAUCGCCAAGUUCGCGACAUGCAACUCCACCAAUUUCCAGGCGCUCAACACAGCUGUCAUGAUCCUGCUACCCAAGUCUGAAGGGGCCUCGCAACUGACUGAUUUCAAGCCUAUUAGUUUGAUCCACAGCGUCGCCAAACUUAUCGCCAAGAUCCUUGCCAGGCGACUGCAGGCGGUGAUCGAUGGCCUGGUGGCGCCUUGCCAGAGUGCGUUCAUCAAGCGGCGCUCCAUACUUGAUAAUUUCAUGUAUGUCCAGGCGAUGAUCAAGACCCUU